UUUUUUUUUUUUUUUUUUGCUGCUUCUGUGGAAUGUCCCACUCCUCGUAUGAAUUAAAUGAUGUGUGGCUGAAAGCAAUUUGGCCUUGAUGUAGGAGUUGGACCAAAUUUGUUUUGUUUUGUUUUCUACAAAUGUUAUAUAUGUACUAGUCUCUUCCAUCUCUUCCAUAUAGUCUCUUAGACUCUACAAAUAGAGUGCUUAGUUCUUGUUCUUGAAUCGGUCCAUUUAAAAAAUACAUUCUAAAGCCAGUAAGAUAUUGCAAGUAUUUUUUUCAUGGAAAGCCACUUUCAAAUGCCUGUGUGCUAAAACUAACUCUCAACUCAGUGGAUUGUAGAGAGGCGAAAGCCCUUAGCCCGGAUGAGUAAUUUUCCAUUGUGACCUAACGUUAAAGAAAAUGAAGAUGUUGCUCUUCCUUUUGACUACACCUGUGCCUUCACAGAGGUCGCUUCUUCCUCAUUACUAUCUGUAAUUUGGCUGCCCAAGAAUUAAGGGUUAUAGAUGUGAAGGGGGGAUUUGAAGUUCAGCCAUAAUUACGAAAGCUCUGUGUUGCUGGGUUCGAGGCUCGGUGGCCUGUCCUCCAUACUCAGCUUCCUGUGUGCAGCCUCCAUUAUGUUGCUGCCAUGUCCUCUCCUGACCAAUCUCUAGAAAGGAGAGAGGCGGGGAGAUGGGACUCAGCCAGGAAAGAGCAAUUCUACAACGAAGAGAAGGACGGCCCAGAAGAAAUUGAGUCAUGCUUUUGUUUUAAACACUUUGCUUCAAUGUUCUGGAUCUGCCUUCAUUUCAUGACACUGAAGACAAGUUUAGAAGAGACACUAAAGAGCUUUAAUCUGAAGGUCAAAUAGAUGAGUAUCUGAACAUAUGUUUUUGUUUUGUGUGCUGGUAAGUUUUUGCGUCGCUGCUUUGUGCUCCCCGCAGAUCGCUCAUGCCCAGGAGCUCUCUUUGGAUCCUCGAAUGAAAGACACACAUUAGCUUAUUUUUAAAUGCCUUGGAUAACUCAAAGGCUGGACACUCCUAAAACUUCCCUGCUAAACCAGGCCCAACUGGAGCCAUUUUCCCGAACUCUCACAUGGCUAGUUGGCUCAAUCUCCUGCCACUCCUGUGUCCCAUGCUUCCCUGAGUCACGGGGAUUCACUCCUGUUCCUCUCUGCAUCCUAGCCUGAGCAACUCUAAGGGUCCCACCCCGUACCACUGGCCAUCGGCAUUUUCCUUAUUGAUCGAUCAAAAACCAGUUGGGGACCCUGUCCCCAAGUAGCCCUUUAGCCUUUGGACAUGUAGAUUCUCAAUUGGAUUAAAACAUUAGAACCAAUCUCCAACAGUUUUGGGUUUUUUGUUUGUUUAUUUUUGUAUUGAUUUGACUUAUGGCUCUGACCAAUCUAUAUAAGAUUUCUUAGCUCCCGUCUUCUUGAAAGGGUAGAUAAUAAUAGCAACCCUCUUGGAUCAUGAUCAGGAUCAAAUGAUACAAAGACUUUUUUAUUAAUUCCUUUAGACUGUCAUUACUGAAUGUUUUCUAUUAUAUAUCAAUUAUCAAUGUUGAAAAAUAAAACAAUGACUAUAGGUAGCUUGGGGACUUCAGUGUAUAUAUAUAUAUAUAUCUACCACUAGGAUAACACUCUUUCCCCUCCUUUGAGAUGACUCAGAGAACAAGUGUACAGAAUAUCCCUAAGGUCUCUGUCUACUAAGACUUAAGGCAGGAACACAUGAAAGACCCAAGUUUGUGACAUCUAUGCUGGAGAUUAUUCAUGGUCACUAGAAAUAGUUUCACCCUACACUUUUUGCUCCCCAUUGCCAUAAAAAGUUCCAGGAAUUAUGGGAUGGGCCCUGGCCAAGGAAUAAGUGAGCCCAGGUAUCAACAUCUUCUUGCACAUUAUAUGGAAGGCCAUGGCAUUUCUUAGUGUACGCAGAUGAGUAGCCCUGUUUAAUAUAGCCAGGAUGGGUGUGUUUUAGGGUUACACAUUACAAGUAUGCAGAUCCUGAAGCUUAUAAAUGGGACUAUAAAGUGGGCAGGGCUCUUGGGUCAUGGGUUGGACACAGAUGGAAAAGGCAAUACUCUUCCUGCCAUCCUCUGUGUGAUAUUUUCUCUGUGUGAAAUUUAAAUUCAGCCAUAAGUGCAGAUUUUAAUGAAGGUCACGGUAUAAAGUUAUUGGAAGUACAAAGUUAUUUGAAAAAGUCUGUUAUUAAGCCUAUACUAUAUGUGCAAUGAGCAGAACCCUGAAAACUGGCUCUUUCUCAGAAUAUGUGCCCAGGGUAUAGAAGCAACAUACACUUAACUAAUUUCAUGGAUGACUGUACUUACCUCCAAUGUUUCCCAUCUUAUAUAUUAUUUAUUGGAUAUUAUCUGACAGGUUACAGCUUCAGAUAAUCCCCACCCUCUUUCUUUUCCUUUCUUACCUCUCCUUCUACCCAAGACAGGCUCCUAUUUCAUAGCCCAGGCUAUCCUCCAACUCACUAUGCAACUCCAACUGGUCUUGAACUUAGGAUCUCCCUGUUUCAACCCAAGUGUGUAUUUACAGUUGUGUGUGCCAUCACACAUACC
rnacentral:lncRNA from 1 species